rnacentral:rRNA from 1 species
UGGCGAACGGGUGAGUAACACGUGGGUGAUCUGCCCUGCACUUCGGGAUAAGCUUGGGAAACUGGGUCUAAUACCGGAUAGGACCAUCGUUUAGUGUCGGUGGUGGAAAGUUUUUUCGGUGUGGGAUGAGCUCGCGGCCUAUCAGCUUGUUGGUGGUGUAAUGGCCUACCAAUGCGUCGACGGGUAGCCGGCCUGAGAGGGUGUACGGCCACAUUGGGACUGAGAUACGGCCCAU